CGGACUUACCAUUAGGCAAACACAGGCAAUUGCCUGGGGCCCCAAGAUUUCCAGGGGCCCCCAAACGUCUCGUGAAAGCUGAUUAAUAAAGGUGUUUUUUUUUAUUUGAAGCAAUUACUAUUGUUUUAGUCUUAAUUUGCACGCUUAAAAAUAAAUAAAAACGGUUGAUCUAUCACUAUCAUGAUCGUUAUCCCCCCUCCUGUCUCGCGCAAUGGACUAUUCCAUGUUACUGCGCAUGUGCAGGCUUGGUUCAGGAAGACGGCAGCAAAACAAACUUGUUGGCGCGGUUUUGAGAGAGCGGGUGAGCAGUGAGAAAGAUGAAGCGGAGUUAUCUGAGUGGAGCGGAGAAGAGAAGAAGGCGAGAAGAAAAUAAACAGUUUUUAUCAAAACUACCGAAGGUAUCAACCUUUUUCACGGUGACACCGAGUGGGGAUUCUCUGCAACAGCUAGAGCUAGAUGCUGCUGUCAGUAGCAGCUCUGCUGUCAGUGUCAGCUGAGGAGAUGUGGCAAGUGAAGCAAGGGAUUCUUUUCAUGAAGAUAAACGCAACAUACAACUUCAUCCAGGCUGAACCUGCUGCUGCUGCCACACUAAAGACGUGUUGAGGUGAGAAUAAAACUUUUGUCAGUGCAGUAUGAGGAUGUCAAGGGCCCCAAUGACUGGAUUUGCCUUGGGCCCCCAAAUGACUAAAUACGCCCCUGCCCAAGAUGUCACAAACCAGAAUUAUCCUUUAACCUUGCUGUUUGUCUGCCUAUCUCUCAAAUAUCAGUUUGUUCAUUUUCUCUCCUUUCAUACUUUUCUUAUAAAGUGUCGUAUCACUGAGUUAUGUCACCUCUCUGCCAUUAACCACGCAAUGGUGCAUCUCUCUCAUUCCUGCAAAUGUGUCUACACCCCAUUAAAAGAUAAAUUUGCCUUUCCUCUCCUGUGUAAGUUCCUCUCUCUCCUCAUCUUGCUACCCAGGUCUCUGAAAAUGUGUUUUCAGCCCCUCUCCAUUCACACUGAAUCAGACUCUGGUAAACAGGGUGACAGCUAAGUGGUCUGAAAAGAAACACCCUUGGAUUUCAUCACCAGCAAUGUCUGACAACCACAUUUGGUUGCCCAGUGAGACAUGUGCGAUAUGACUGGCUGCAUUUUCACAGGAUUAAUCGUAAUUAAAGGAGCACUGCUUUCUGAUUGGGAAUGGCAGCGUCCUGAUAAGACCCUGCCAUCCCACAGACCACACCAGACAAUCAACUGUCACUCGUGGCAAGCAUGCCCUGUCCUAUUAUCACAAAUAACUGGGACUUCUUUAAUAAGACAGAGUUUUUUUUAGAGAAGCUGCAUCACAGCUGUACAUUUACGUGAUGCAUUUUUGGAAAAAUAUAGACAAGAAAUUGAAAAAAAAUAUUGUAAUGACCAUAUUAAGUCCUGUGCAUCAGCCUUUUCAGAGUCCAUACAGAGAAAAAGCAACUCACUCUCAAUUUGGAAAGCCAUUGUCAGAAACAUGUCUUUUCUCUGGGGGGACUCAGGUGAAUGCACUCUUUUCUUGUGGGUAGAUUAAAAGCCCGAGCCGCUGUGAUUAACAACUUAUUAUCUGUUAGAUUAAUUUCCAGCUGCUGAAUAUUUCAGAAUGCAAGUGUGAGGCUUUCUUUAGCGGACCUAUACUGGAAAUUAACCUCAUCCUCAUUAUCACCCUCCCUAGAUGAUGUGUGAAAGCCGUCCAGAGGAUGGUGAGAACAGAAUACACAUCCUGCUUGGCACUUUCUGCCAAAGACUUGAACUAAUUAAUACACAAUUUUCUACAAGGUAAUGCGAAAGCUGCCUUGGCCGUUGCUUUGCCAGAAACAUUUCUCUCUUUUUUUCAGAACUUUGUCCACAUUUCAACCGCUGGUGCUAAUUAGCUUUGCUUCCUGGGCCUCAGCUGCUCACUGCCAAAACAUCCCUGCUCCUGAAGUGCUACUUUGUAAGGUCAGAGUGAUGUCAUCUGCUCGGCUGCAAGAGAGCACCGAGCAUGAUAUAAACGUCUUCAUCUGAUCAUGGUAGUUAGAUUUUUACACAGACAUUUGUGUGGGUCUCUUUGCAUCGCCCAGAAGAAACAGAUUGUGUGUUUCUACAAGCAUAAGUCUUGAGUGUAUACACAGACAGCCACUGUAAUAUGUCGGCUGCCCUUGUGUCUGCAAUCAGCUUAACUCAUUGGAGACUUUUUAGCUUUAGUCCUCUGAACUGCAAAACCCACUGACAGGAUUGAAAAGCAUGUUUUUAGUUUAAAAAAAACACACACACACAGCCAAAUUACACUUUAAGCUUCAGUCAAUUCCAGCCGUUUUCAGUACAAAAAAUCGCUAAUAUUCUAUUUUUAAAUAAAAAAAAUUACGAAAAAUACAGGGAAUAUUGGACGCACAUCGCGAGGUGCAUUUCCUUGAAAACGACCGAUUCGUGGAUUUUAUACCGACUUCAGGACAUGUUUUGGACAAAAUAGUUUACUGGCUUGUGUCAUCUGGAUGUAAAAGGUUGGAUUUUGGCCGUUUUUUGUGGAAUCUUUUUUUCUGUGUGUAAUAAUAAACCCGGAAAUGUGAGUCGCGCUGUGUGCGUUGAAGCCGUGUAUAGAGAACGGAUGGAUGAAUAUUUGUUUUUGUCGGACAAAUGUGUUUUUCUCACCCGCUGUGGUAAUCGCAUCUGAAAGUGGUUUAUACCGGCGGAUUCAUGAGAAUCUAAGCUUUCCAUCGGCGUAUAGUGUUUGUAUAAUCGGGUUUGCAGCCGUCGGACAUUCUUGAAAUUCCUAUGCAAAUUAGUAGGUGUACCGCCGGCGGUACACCUACGACGCACUGAA